CCGUAAGUUACAUUAGAGGAGCCGCCGCCGGUGUGCGACCGGACCCAGAGAACCGAAGGGGGGGGGGGGGGGUUGAACGAGCCCGCAGCCGUAACGGCGGCCUUGGGCUGUUGAGGGGAGGAUCGAGGCGGUGUGUGUGUGUGUGUGAGGGGGGGCGUAGCGACCCUUCCCCGGCGGGAGGCAGCGAGGCGGCUGCGCCUUUUUGUGUCCCCCCCCCCCCCCUCCCCGCCUCUCGGAGCCGUUAUCGCCGUCCGCGGGGGCGGCUCGGAGCUCGGGGAGGCGAAAGGCGAGGCGGCGAGGCCAGCCGGCCGCGCUCUGCCCCGCGCCCCUCAGGCCGCAGCGGCUUUCCUCAGCUAGGCUUCGGGGGUGCCCGAAGCCCCGCUCGGCUCCCUCAGAGGGCGUGUGGGGUGGGAGGGGGGGCGGGGGCUUUUUUUUUUUUUUACAUCGGUUUUCCCCCCCCCUCCUUUUUUAAUUUUUUUUUUUUUUUUUUUUUUUUUGCUUCCCCUCCUGCCUCCUUCGGAAAGAGCGAGGCGGUGAGGUGGGCUCGAGGGCUCCUGUGGUGCGGGAGGGGUCUAUGGUGAUAGCACGGGGGCGGUGGGGGACAGAGCCAGGCGCUGAGGGGGCUGAGGAGGGGGCUGAGGAGGGGGCUCGCCGCUGCGCCCGCCGCUGACGAGGAGGAGGAAGAAAAAGAAGAAGCCAGGCACCAUUUGCUGCUCCUUGUCCCAGCCAUGGAGAACGCACACACAAAGACUGUGGAGGAAGUUUUGGCUUAUUUCGGUGUCAACGAAAGCACUGGGCUCAGCUUGGAGCAAGUCAAGAAGCUGAAGGAGAAAUGGGGCUCCAACGAAUUACCAGCUGAGGAAGGAAAAACCUUACUCGAGCUUGUGAUUGAACAAUUUGAAGACUUACUAGUUAGAAUUUUGUUGCUGGCAGCUUGCAUAUCUUUUGUCCUGGCCUGGUUUGAAGAAGGUGAAGAAACAAUCACAGCGUUUGUAGAGCCAUUUGUAAUCUUACUUAUAUUAGUAGCCAACGCAAUUGUGGGAGUGUGGCAGGAAAGAAAUGCUGAAAAUGCUAUUGAAGCUCUUAAAGAAUAUGAACCAGAAAUGGGUAAAGUAUAUCGACAAGACCGAAAGAGUGUUCAAAGGAUUAAAGCAAGGGACAUCGUCCCAGGUGAUAUUGUAGAAGUGGCAGUUGGAGACAAGGUUCCUGCUGAUAUAAGAAUUACAUCUAUCAAAUCUACAACUCUAAGGGUAGACCAGUCAAUUCUCACAGGUGAAUCUGUGUCUGUUAUUAAGCACACUGACCCUGUACCUGAUCCUCGUGCUGUAAACCAAGACAAAAAGAACAUGCUAUUUUCUGGUACUAACAUUGCUGCUGGUAAAGCUAUGGGAGUGGUUAUUGCAACAGGAGUAAACACUGAAAUUGGCAAAAUUCGUGAUGAGAUGGUGGCUACUGAACAAGAGAGAACCCCUCUCCAACAGAAGCUGGAUGAGUUUGGAGAGCAGCUGUCUAAAGUCAUCUCACUUAUCUGCAUCGCUGUUUGGAUAAUAAACAUUGGUCACUUUAAUGAUCCUGUUCACGGUGGCUCCUGGAUUCGAGGUGCUAUCUAUUACUUUAAAAUUGCCGUUGCUCUUGCUGUUGCUGCUAUUCCCGAGGGUCUGCCUGCUGUCAUUACCACCUGCUUGGCUCUUGGAACCCGCAGAAUGGCCAAGAAGAAUGCUAUUGUUAGAAGUCUUCCCUCCGUAGAAACCUUGGGGUGCACCUCAGUUAUUUGUUCUGACAAGACUGGUACCCUGACCACGAAUCAGAUGUCAGUCUGCAGGAUGUUUGUCCUGGACAGAGUCGAUGGAGAUAACUGUUCUCUGAAUGAAUUUACUGUAACUGGUUCAACAUAUGCUCCCAUGGGAGAAGUGCAUAAAGAUGACAAACUUAUUAAAUGUAGCCAGUACGAUGGCCUUGUGGAACUUGCAACAAUCUGUGCGCUCUGCAAUGAUUCCUCUUUGGACUACAAUGAAGCUAAGGGAGUAUAUGAAAAAGUGGGUGAAGCUACAGAAACAGCACUUACCUGUCUGGUUGAAAAGAUGAAUGUAUUUGACACAGACUUGAAAGGACUUUCUCGAAUUGAACGUGCAAAUGCUUGCAACUCGGUGAUAAAACAACUUAUGAAGAAAGAAUUCACUCUGGAAUUCUCAAGAGACAGAAAAUCUAUGUCUGUCUAUUGUACACCAAAUAAACCAAGCCGCACAUCCAUGAGUAAGAUGUUUGUUAAGGGUGCUCCUGAAGGUGUCAUUGACAGAUGUACACAUGUCCGUGUUGGAAAUGCUAAAGUAGCACUGACCACAGGAAUUAAGCAGAAAAUAAUGUCUGUUAUUAGAGAGUGGGGAACUGGUAGAGACACAUUGCGUUGCUUGGCUCUGGCAACCCAUGACAAUCCACCUAGAAAAGAAGAAAUGAAUCUUGAGGACUCCUCAAACUUCAUUAACUAUGAGACCAAUUUGACCUUCGUUGGCUGCGUGGGUAUGCUGGAUCCCCCAAGAAUUGAAGUGGCUUCAUCUAUAAAGCUGUGUAAACAAGCUGGUAUUAGAGUUAUUAUGAUUACUGGUGACAAUAAAGGCACAGCAGUAGCUAUUUGCCGACGCAUUGGUAUCUUUGUGGAAGAUGAAGAUGUGUCUACAAAAGCCUUUACUGGCCGUGAAUUUGACGAGCUCUCACUUGCUGCCCAGAGAGAUGCUUGCCACCAUGCCCGUUGCUUUGCUCGUGUGGAGCCUUCCCACAAAUCUAAAAUUGUGGAGUUUCUUCAGUCUUUUGAUGAGAUUACAGCUAUGACUGGUGAUGGUGUCAAUGAUGCCCCUGCAUUGAAGAAAGCAGAAAUUGGAAUUGCUAUGGGUUCUGGUACUGCAGUGGCUAAAACUGCUUCUGAAAUGGUUUUAGCAGAUGAUAACUUCUCUACUAUCGUAGCUGCUGUGGAAGAAGGACGUGCAAUUUAUAACAACAUGAAGCAGUUCAUCCGUUACUUGAUCUCUUCCAAUGUUGGAGAAGUUGUUUGUAUCUUCUUGACUGCUGCCCUGGGUUUUCCUGAAGCUCUAAUUCCUGUCCAACUGUUAUGGGUAAACCUUGUGACGGAUGGUCUCCCUGCUACUGCUCUGGGCUUUAAUCCUCCUGAUCUUGAUAUCAUGAAUAAGCCACCCCGCAACCCUAAAGAGCCACUGAUCAGUGGAUGGCUAUUCUUCCGUUACCUAGCUAUUGGAUGUUAUGUUGGUGCUGCCACAGUGGGUGCUGCUGCUUGGUGGUUUAUUGCUGCUGAUGGUGGUCCAAGAGUUACCUUUUAUCAGCUGAGCCAUUUUCUGCAGUGCAAAGAGGACAACCCUGACUUCUCUGGUGUUGACUGUGUCGUGUUUGAGUCUCCGUAUCCAAUGACAAUGGCUCUUUCUGUACUUGUCACCAUAGAGAUGUGCAAUGCUCUCAACAGUCUGUCAGAAAACCAGUCCUUAAUGAGGAUGCCCCCGUGGGAGAAUAUCUGGCUGGUGGGCGCUAUUUGCUUGUCCAUGUCACUCCACUUCCUUAUCCUUUACGUGGAACCGCUGCCAAUUAUCUUCCAGAUCACACCUCUGAAUGUGACGCAAUGGCUGAUGGUGUUGAAAAUCUCACUACCUGUCAUUCUGCUGGAUGAAACACUUAAAUAUGUGGCCCGUAACUACCUGGAACCUGGUAAAGAUAGUGUGCGGCCUGCCACCAAACCGUGUUCUUUGUCAGCAUGCACCGAAGGAGUUUCCUGGCCGUUUGUGUUCAUUACUAUGCCCUUGGUUAUCUGGCUUUACAGCACAGACACUAACUUUAGUGAUAUGUUCUGGUCUUGACUGACAUGGUGACAGUUUUACAUUGAAAGAAAAAGUUUAACUUAAUCAAUUUUUUUAUUGUUUAGAGCAACUGUCUAUUUCUGCUGAAUUUUCACAUGAACAUAUUUGCCGGUGAUGGAGGUUUCAUACUCUAGAUUUUGGUUUUUUGCUUUUUUCUGACUUCAGUGGGGGCAAUAUAUUCCUCUUUUAUACACAGUUAAAGUGUCCAUUGACAUGUACAGAGAACUAACACUAUUUUAUGCAAUUUUUUUGUAGAUGAAAAGCAUGUACAGUGUUCUGUUCAAUAGUCAUCAUGUAAAAAAAAAGUAAAUUUUUUUGAGCCAGCGGACACUAUCAAACUAAAUUGGCAGCAGAUUUUAGGGAAUGAAUGUGUGUUGUCUAAAACUAAAAAGAAAAAAAAAAGCAUGUAACUGUUUGUCUUCUGCAUGAUCAUCCAAACUUAAUUUGUCAUACAGUCAGGUUUUAUUUUUUCAUAAGCCGAACUUUCUGCACUGGGUAGAGAGUACUGCUACCUUGGUCAGGAUUUCUUCUGUUUCCCCUCUUCCUGCUCCCUUGCUCUUGGUUCUUGACUGUCCUUGUUUACACCAGUUUCUGUAUGAGGUAUGCCUAAUCUUGCUCGUGCAGAAAAUACCAUUCCAGGUGCAGCCUGCUGGGGUUCUUCCAUAUUCUCAACACACAGUUUUUUUAAAGAUUAUUUAUUUAAGUCUCUAUUGUAUUUUUAUUGUAACAGACCUUAUUUUGCCAGUGUUGCCCAUGAUGCAGGGAUAGGGAGGUUUACUUCUGUCUACUUAAAUCUAAACCAAGCCUUUUUAACCAACAAAGUCUGUUUUAAUCCCAAAAGAGGGUUUAAGUUGAGUUUUAAUACCUGAAUUACAUGUGUCAGAUCUUUUUUUUCUUUCUUCCCCCCUUUAAGAUCAAAACUUGUAAUGAGACCUGGAAAAAUAACUUGCACUGCAUAGCUAGAAAUUGGAUUUCCUACACUUAGGGCACUAAUGCUAAGUUGUAUACAUGGAGUUACUCUGCUGGCCUGUUGUUAGCCUGACUUGAAGUAACAAGCUCGUGUGUGUGUUUUGUAAAAUCUGUAAAUAGCACAUGACCAAAUUGAACAUAUUGUAUAGAACUAUUUUUAUUUUAAUGUGGCACUAACCACCUUCAUUAUUACGGUAAAUGUUAAAGCAUGUUUUCAAAUUCAGUCCUGUAUCAACAACGUGUAAGUCAUUAACAGUCCUAACUGUGGUGUUUUUCUCCAAUGCCUUCCAACUUUCAUCGACUAAACAAUACUGGAGUAAUCGCUUCUUAAACAAUUUUGCAGAAAUGUAAGGUUGUUUUGUUGCGUGCAUGUGUUUUUAGCAACACAUCUACCAAAACUUCUGCAUGUAUCAUGUGUAAAGAUUCUUUGCUUUCCCUAAAAACAAAACUCAUUGUGUUCUCUGUGGAAGAAAUGUGUGGUACCAUUAGGACUUCAGAUGUACAAAUGUGCAAUAUAGUUACAGAAUUGGAAACUCUCUGCAGAGAAGUUUGGGUUCUGUGCAGCAUGGAGAAGAGUUUGUUUAUCUUUGAACAAGAAUCGCCGAGCUGUCAGCCAAUUUUCCAUAUUCCUGUAUGUAAAAUGUCAGUUUAUAAAAUGUACAAUAUCAAAACUGCAUGCCUUCGGUUGUAGACAAAUCUCUGUAUUGUAUCAUCCAAACAUACUACUUAUAACAGCUUAUGUACAAUGCUAUCCUAUUUAUAAAACUCAUUGAAAAGAUUACAGAUGAAUGUUAAACUGUAAGCCUCCAGUUCAUACCUUUGGAUUUUUUUAUCAUGUGUGCAAAUCAACCUGUUUUGCACUGUAAUGUAACUUAUUUAAAUCUAAGGCAGUAAGACAGAUGUUGGUGCAAUACAAAAUAUUGUGAUGCAUUUAUUUAGAAAGCAGCAAAUGACUUAGCCAGUUACCACAACUGCAUGUAUGACCUUUAGAACUUGUAAAUAAGAUCAGUUGUCUAUUUACAUGCUGACAGUAAGAAGCAUCACACCUAGUUUCAUUUGUAUCAGGUAAAUAAAUUUAUUCUACAAUA